CAUUCACGGAGAGUUUGAUCCUGGCUCAGGACGAACGCUGGCGGCGUGCUUAACACAUGCAAGUCGAACGAUGAACCACUUCGGUGGGGAUUAGUGGCGAACGGGUGAGUAACACGUGGGCAAUCUGCCCUGCACUCUGGGACAAGCCCUGGAAACGGGGUCUAAUACCGGAUACUGAUCCGCCUGGGCAUCCAGGCGGUUCGAAAGCUCCGGC
rnacentral:rRNA from 1 species